rnacentral:rRNA from 1 species
AGGUUUUCGGAUCGUAAAGCUCUGUUGUUAGGGAAGAACAAGUGCCGUUCAAAUAGGGCGGCACCUUGACGGUACCUAACCAGAAAGCCACGGCUAACUACGUGCCAGCAGCCGCGGUAAUACGUAGGUGGCAAGCGUUGUCCGGAAUUAUUGGGCGUAAAGGGCUCGCAGGCGGUUUCUUAAGUCUGAUGUGAAAGCCCCCGGCUCAACCGGGGAGGGUCAUUGGAAACUGGGGAACUUGAGUGCAGAAGAGGAGAGUGGAAUUCCACGUGUAGCGGUGAAAUGCGUAGAGAUGUGGAGGAACACCAGUGGCGAAGGCGACUCUCUGGUCUGUAACUGACGCUGAGGAGCGAAAGCGUGGGGAGCGAACAGGAUUAGAUACCCUGGUAGUCCACGCCGUAAACGAUGAGUGCUAAGUGUUAGGGGGUUUCCGCCCCUUAGUGCUGCAGCUAACGCAUUAAGCACUCCGCCUGGGGAGUACGGUCGCAAGACUGAAACUCAAAGGAAUUGACGGGGGCCCGCACAAGCGGUGGAGCAUGUGGUUUAAUUCGAAGCAACGCGAAGAACCUUACCAGGUCUUGACAUCCUCUGACAAUCCUAGAGAUAGGACGUCCCCUUCGGGGGCAGAGUGACAGGUGGUGCAUGGUUGUCGUCAGCUCGUGUCGUGAGAUGUUGGGUUAAGUCCCGCAACGAGCGCAACCCUUGAUCUUAGUUGCCAGCAUUCA